rnacentral:rRNA from 1 species
UAUGGCCAUACCACCCUGAAUGCGCCCGAUCUCGUCUGAUCUCGGAAGCUAAGCAGGGUCGGGCCUGGUUAGUACUUGGAUGGGAGACAUUAUGGUCUCGAGGUGCAUACAUAU